rnacentral:rRNA from 1 species
GCUUGUCUCAAAGAUUAAGCCAUGCAUGUCUAAGUAUAAGCAAAUUUAUACGUGAAACUGCGAAUGGCUCAUUAUAUCAGUUAUAGUUUCUUUGAUGGUCCUUGCUACUUGGAUAACCGUAGUAACUCUAGAGCUAAUACAUGCAUCAAUCCCCGACUUCCUGGAAGGGGUGUACUUAUUAGAUGGAAACCAAUGCGGGGCAACCCGGAAUAUGGUGAAUCAUAAUAACUGUCGUAUCGAGCAAUCGAAGCGCCAUACAAGUUUCUGCCCUAUCAGCUUUGGAUGGUAGGGUAUUGGCCUACCAUGGCUUUAACGGGUAACGGAGAAUUAGGGUUCGAUUCCGGAGAGGGAGCCUGAGAAACGGCUACCACAUCCAAGGAAGGCAGCAGG